rnacentral:rRNA from 1 species
GACAGAGGGUGCAAACGUUGUUCGGAAUUACUGGGCGUAAAGCGCGUGUAGGCGGUCUUGCAAGUCGGAUGUGAAAGCCCUGGGCUCAACCUAGGAAGUGCAUUCGAAACUGCUCGACUUGAGUUCUGGAGAGGGUCGCGGAAUUCUCGGUGUAGAGGUGAAAUUCGUAGAUAUCGAGAGGAACACCGGUGGCGAAGGCGGCGACCUGGACAGCAACUGACGCUGAGACGCGAAAGCGUGGGGAGCAAACAGG